rnacentral:tRNA from 37 species
GCCCGGGUAGCUCAGUGGUAGAGCAGACGACUGAAAAUCGUCGUGUCGGUGGUUCGACUCCGCCCCUGGGCACCA